rnacentral:rRNA from 1 species
GUAGCACAGAGNNGCUUGCUCUCCGGGUGACGAGUGGCGGACGGGUGAGUAAUGUCUGGGAAACUGCCUGAUGGAGGGGGAUAACUACUGGAAACGGUAGCUAAUACCGCAUAACGUCGCAAGACCAAAGAGGGGGACCUUCGGGCCUCUUGCCAUCAGAUGUGCCCAGAUGGGAUUAGCUAGUAGGCGGGGUAAUGGCCCACCUAGGCGACGAUCCCUAGCUGGUCUGAGAGGAUGACCAGCCACACUGGAACUGAGACACGGNCCANACUCCUACGGGAGG